UCAUUCGACGUGGUGCCAUUUCUCUCUCUGCCGGCAGUCCUGCAACUCGUUUCUCUACUCUACGGUCAUCUUCCUUCAAAUGUUUUAUAUUUUUGCCGUUUACUCAAGAAAAUUUGCAUGAAUAACGAGAUGCCUGAAUUUAUUCUGAAGCGACAUCAGAAGAAGAUAUUAGAGAGCUAUUUUCUAAAGCUCACAAGGACAGCCCCAUCCAUUGUAUUCAUAGAUGAAAUAGAUGCGAUUGCAACUAAAUGGUAAAUUUCCAAUAACGUAAUGGAGCAACAAAUUGUCACAAUACUAAUGUUGUGCAUGGAUAAGUCAUCGAGAAUUGUCAAACCUAUAAAUGAAAGUGGAACUUUAAAGAAUUCUGAUUGCAUGUCUGGGUAUGUACUCAUUAUUGGAGCAACAAAUAGGCCUGAUUCUAUUAAUCCUGCAUUGAUGAGGCUUGGAUGAUUUGACCAUGAGAUUUAGCUUUUGAUCUUAUGAAUAUAGCUUAGUCCACUGCAGGGAUUGUUGGAGCUGACUUGGCAGCACUUACGGACAAAGCUGGCAAUCUAGCAAAUGAAUUGGAUAAUAGGCCAAUGCAAGUAUCAGGUUUCUACAGAACCUGUACAAGGGGAGCUUGUUGAAGAAUGGUGGAGACAACCUUGAUCAUGUGAAGAAAUAGAAAGGCUCGGCAUGACAAUGGCUGAUUUUGAGGACAAGGAUUCGGGGAAGAUGAUUGGACAUGCUAGAGAAUGGGAUGGGCUUUUCCUAACUCGAAUCACCGAGGCAAUCAAGUAUCAUCAAGGGCAAAUUACCUCAUUCUUUUGUUUGAGUUUUUUCAUCCAAUAUAGAGAGUGGCUUCACCAUUGUUGACUUGUACAUGUGUCAUUUAGGGUUAUUAAACAUAAUUCUCAUGUUACUUGGAUUUUUUGGCUCAUACAUAAAUUUGAUGUUAGUACUGUUCAUCCAAAUUUUUGUUCCAUGAUUAAGAAUCAAUUUAAGGUCAAUAUCAAAAGGUUUGGGUUGGUUCAAUCAAGUCCUAUCUCCGUACUUUAAGAAGAAUUAAGGGAUAGUACACGAGUCAUCUUAUGUUAGUACUCUACAGCAAAAUAGAGUAGCAAAAAAGUAAAAUUGACACCUUAAAUCAACCUGAGCCUUCAUGUUCCAUAGAGAUGUACCUAAAUCCUUUUGGGUAGAAGCAGUUCUUACAGCCACACAUCUAAUAAAUCGUUUACCUUCCAGAAUCUUGGGAUUCAAGAGUCAAAUGGAAAUACUAUCGACAUUCUAUCCUAACCUACACACUACAAAUAAUCUUGUCCCUAGGAUGUUUGGGUGUAUAUCAUUUGUCCAUGACCAUAGUCAAAAUAGGGGAAACUUGGAUCCUAGGGUGUUAAGAUGUGUCUUUGUGGUUAUUCGUCAAUUUAGAAAGGGUGCAAGUGUUACCACCCUCCAUCAAAGAAAUUCUAUGUCUCGGUGGUGUUCCUUUCAAUGAAUUAGAGUUGUAUUUCACAGCUCCUUAUCUUUAGGGUGAGAAUUCAAUAAUGGUAAAUAAGGAUAGUUUUUUGCCUAACUUACUGUCACUUUCCAGGUCCAGAUCAGUUCCUCAUUCCACUAUGUUGAAUUCCGUGUCUCCUUGUCUGAACUCGUGCCCGUGCUCAAAAUCCUCAAGAAAAAAGAUGGACUCUACUUUUGAAAAUGUAAAUAUUUGGCAAGGGCAAGGUGUUUUCAAGGAAGAUGGUUGUCCUUGAAUCUGUGCAAGUACAAGACACGAACCCGGAUUUUGAGAAUGCGGCAACAAUUUCUAACCCUUCAUUGCAAGCUAAAACUGAAUCUAAUGUGAGCAAUAAUGACAGGGCCUUCCCAUUGCUCACAAACCGACAUUUAUAUCCUCUUGCACAUUUCUUGUCUUUUAAACAUUUUUCCCCAUCUCAUAGAGCCUUCCUUGUUAGCUUAAACACCAUUGUCAUUCCUGCCACCUUAUCCAAGGCUUUGUCCAAUGAGAAAUAGAAACAAGCUAUGAAUGUAAGGAUAGAGGUCCUUAAAAAAACUUGGGAAUUGGUGAAGUUGCUAACAAGAAAGAGAUUAGUGGGAUGUAAAAUGGGUUUAUAUAGUGAAGUAUAGGGCAGAUGGAUCGAUAGAAAGAUACGAGGGAAAGUUGGUGGCUAAAGGUUAUACUCAAUCAUAUGGAAUCGAUUACCUAGAGACUUAUGCUCCAAUUGCAAAGAUAAAUACUGUUAGAAUCUUGUUGUCAUUAACAACUAAUUAUGGUUGGAAUAGCAGCAUUUUGAUUUUAAGAUUGCAUUGUUUGCCUGGAGAACUAAAGGAAGAAAUUUAUAUAGAGGUCGUAUUAGGUUAUGGGAAUAAUUUGGCUGGUUAUAUUGUGUGUAGGUUGAAGAAAGCCUCUAUGGACUUGAGAAAUCACCAUAGGCAUGGUUUGGAAGAUUUGCAAGAGUUAUGAUAGCCAUGGGAUAUAUAUAGACAAAGCUAAAGGGAUCAUAUGCUGUACAUUAAACACUCACCUUCAAGGGAGUCACAGUUUUCUUAGAAUAUGUUGAUGACACAAUAGUGAUCGGGAUUGAUGAUAAGGAGAAGAUAGUUUGCAAACCAGCAAGUACUUCAUUAGAUUCGAAUGUUAGACUUGGAAAGGUAGAGGAAGAUGUUGCAGUAGACAUGGAAAUGUACCAGUACUUGUAGGAACCUAUUUAUCUGUCACACACAUCCGGAUAUAGCGUAUGCAGUGUUAGCCAGUUCUUGCAUAUCCCCAAGGAACUCUUGGUAGGGAGACCUAUUUCAUUUUUUUUCUUUCACUCCUUUCACCAGUAGGUACGAAUGAGGAGGCGAAUCCAGUGCCACUGAUCAGCCGUUGUGAGUGGCGAAUGUAUUGCCUUAGGCGUUGUUGCUAAACGGAGCUUGAGUUCGUUGCAUACAAUGACGAUCAGAUCCCGUCGUGUACGGCAUUCAGAUCUCGUCGUGCACGACAUUCAGAUCUCGUCCCGAGCGGCAACGAACUUAGAGUGUUGGGCACAGUGGUGUACACUCUGGUUGUCAUGAUGGGUUUGUGGUGGUUUUGUGGUUGAUUUGUAGGAGUUUGGUUAUGUUGCGAUCUGGCAACGAUGAUAGUGUAGGAGUUUGGUGUGUGGUUACUAUGGUGGUGGUAGGUUUGCAUUGAUGUGAUGUAGUGGUUGUUGUGGUGGUGAUUUUGCACGGUCUGGUGAGACGACGGUGGCCAUGGGUAGAUGGGAUGGGAUAGGAGCUGUUUGUGACCAAUUAUUUGGUUGAUUGUGAUCAAUAAAUUGGUUAAUUUGUGACCUAAAAAAUGUAAUUGUGACUCA